rnacentral:sRNA from 1 species
AAACAAAGAUGCCGCAGACAGCAGGCGUGGCUUGCCACUCAAUCUCCUGCCGAGGUGUUAAGGUUUUUAAAAAAGAUCACUCAAGAUUUACUCUUUUUUAUGUCCUUAUGCCGCGCGGCGUAAGGGCUUUUUAAUUUCUU